rnacentral:rRNA from 1 species
UACGGAGGGUGCAAACGUUAUCCGGAAUCAUUGGGCGUAAAGCGUGUGUAGGUGGUUUGGUCAGUCUAUGAUGAAAUCCCGAGGCUUAACCUCGGACCCGUUGUAGAUACUGCCAGACUUGAGGGUAGCAGGGGUACGUGGAACUUUGAGUGUAGGAGUGAAAUCCGUAGAUAUUCAAAGGAACACCAAUGGCGAAGGCAGCGUACUGGGCUACACCUGACACUGAGACACGAAAGCGUGGGGAGCAAACGGG